GAGCGAGCGCGGGCGGCGGGAGGAACAGCGGGGGCGGGGACGUGGGACAACCUGCCGCCCGCCUGCCCUCGCACCUCCCCCUGGCCCUGGCCGCAGACCCACCCCUCAGCCCGGCUGGGGCAAGGUCACCCCGGGCCCGGCAGCUCCGCACCUGCCGCCCCACCCCCGCAGUUCCGGCCCACCCUCUGGGUCCAGGCCCGCCGGGCCGGCUGUAGCUGGGAGCCAGGGCUCCGGGGUGGCCGCACCCAGAGUCGUUUUAGCGGAACCGGCUGUGGCCUAGGCCAGUGUGGGCCCGGGACGGUGUCUGCCGCGCUAGGGCGCCGGCACUCCCCUGGCCGGUCGGUGGUGGCCCGCGUGCUCCUGGCUACAUGGAAAGGACCGGCCUCAGACAGAGGGUUUCUUCAACGCGGAGAUGCUGCUCAGGCCACUCUGUACCCAAGGUCAACCCUGAGGUCAACCCUGCAGGCCUAAGACAAGCCUGACCGGAUGCGGAGUGAGCGCUGUGGAGGUCCACGUGCAGGACCCGGGCCACCAAGGGUUCCAGAGCGUGAGGGGAGCGGCAGGCCGUCGAGGACAACCGAGAGCCGUGUGUUGCGACGAGAAGCCACCCCUGCUUUGCCCCUGCAGUGUGUAGGUUGGAAAAGCCCUGAGUCGGUGGAAGACCGCGGGAGAAGGCUGCCCCUGCAGAAAGAAGGCCUAUGGCCCCUGCGGGCUGGAGUCGCCUCUUGGAGGAGUUUCUCGCAGGGUGGACGUAUUUGUUGGGUGCCCACAAAUGCAAGACGGAAGUCCGCGCGCCAGAAUCAGCCCCACCAAGGGGCGGGGGUGGGGGCGCAAAGAAAGAAGAGAACGAGGUGGCUGAAGAUGUGGUUCUCUUCCUGAGCCAACCCUGUUCUUCCCACCCAACCUUCAUCUCUCUCUCUCCUCUCUUUCGCCUCCCCUCCCCCGAAGAAGCAUGUGGUAAAGCAAGGCACACGCGGAGAGGCUCACAGUUACAGAGUUCUAAUUAGAACUCUUUUUUUCUGAAAAAAGAAGUGGCCUACCUUAGCUCUCCAGGGUAUGGCAAAUCCCAAGUAGAUGGAGGCUAUGGCUGGCAAAGAUCAGCGUUCUCAAGUCCUUGACCUACUGUCUUCCCCUGGCCGACAGCUCCCCCUCAAAUUACAGUCUUCUAGCUUUGCUCUUUGUCCCUCACUGCUUGUGAACUGUCCCGGGGUUUUGAUGAAGCCCCGGAGGGUCCUGCCUGCUGAGUCAGUUCAGCAUUUCGUUCAACCCCUGAGGUUCCUGGCUGAUCCCCUCUUUGCAUCCCAAUCUGCCCUUUCUGCUGGAGAACGCUCUCCAGCCCAGGGGUCACCACACCCUCCACCCGCCUAGCCUGCCAGACUGCCUGGAAAGGACUCACCCUGCCAGCCCCUCCGCACCUAGCUCAGCCUGGGGACAGUAGAACAGACCCAUUCUUAUUCCCAGCUUCGAUACUGGCCCACAGUGUGACCUUGGGCAAGUCACUUGUUGCCUCCUGGGUUGUAAAAUCGAAGUGAAAUAUUGCAGCAAGGAUUCCGUGGGGGUGGGGUGGGGUGGGGUGGGAAAUCUUUAAGCACAGUGCGGGGUGCCUGGCGUGUGCUGUUAAGUAGCUGGUUUAAUCAUAAUCCACUACUGUAUUUCCUCAUGACCUUGUCUAACUUCGGGGCAGUGGCUCUGACUUUACCACCUUCCCACUCUGCCACAGCCCCUGCCAGGACUUUGCAUUCCCAUCAGGCCCUGGAAGGUCACCCUGACAAAUGCCCCACCCUCUAGGCCACCUUUCCCCUUGCUUCCAAACCUGCUUCCUGCUCCGUGACCUCCUCUAACUCAAGUACUGAACAAGUACAGUACAUAGUGUCCCUUCAGGUUGGACUGGGCGGGCCGUGUCCCUAGCCCCUCCUGUGCAGGUGCUGUAGCAGCAGGGUGAGAACAAAACGAGUGUGGUUUGUGACCGGGCGCAAGGCAGUGCACGCCUUGGGGAGCCAAGAGAGCUCCUCCACACAGCCCGGAGAAGGAGCACAGGGCCUCAUCGCAGGAGGAAAGUCUUAGUGCGGCGUAAAGGCGGGUGGGGGUGGGGUGGGGUGGGCUGUGAUUUUUCCUCCUUUUCUCUUGGCAGCUAGGGAAGAGAGAUGGUUCUGGAGUCCUGUGAUUGGUUCUGCCCUAGGCUAAUGCUGCGUGGGUGGAUAGAGGAGCAGAGAGCAGGAAGCACCAGGGUUGGCAAUGGGUCUGGCCCUCUGAGGUUCCAAGGAGGAAGCAGCCAAAUGCUAUUGGGAUCCAGGCAGAAUCCUGAGGGCAGAGGUGGGAGAGUCCAGAGGUGAAAGCAGGAUGGGGCAGCCCUAAUUGUAGCAAGGUGGCCAGGCAGAAGCCGAGACAGGACAGAGCAACCGACAGCAGUGAGAGCCUGGUGCUGGACACCAGAGGCUGAACAGGAGGUGGCUGCAGGAGAGCGUGCCGCUUGGCCAGCUGCACAGGGGACAAUCAGAGCUGCAGAGCAGAACCCCUCCAGUGGUUGGCUGCCUGUGCCCUCGGCUGCCCGCUGAACCCCCCUGCCAACAUAAUGCAGUCCUCUCUGCAGAGGCUGAGAAGGGCCAGGCUGCCAAUCCCUCGUCCACUCGCGUGCUCACACAAGGCGGGUUCCUUCCCGGCCAGCCCCAGGGUAUUUUUAAGUACAGAGUGGAGGGGAUGAGGGGACGUGUUGCAUGGUGACUCAUCCUGGCGGCGGGGACUGGCAGUGCAGAGUGAAUGGCUGGGUGGCAGGCUGUGUUUGCAGUAGGAAGCAGGCAGAGCCCACUGUUCCACAGGAGGGCUCGCCUGGGGCUGCGACUGGUCCCCACAGUGGGGCUUCUGCCUGAUGCCCCGGGGGGGCCGGCCGAGUGCCCUCACUCACAUGUCCCAAAGGGCACCACUCUGUGCUUCUUAAUGGACCCCUUGAGCUUAAUAAAAAUCAAGUCAUUCUCCAGAAUGGUUCCGGUUUCUUAGAGAAACUAGAGACCCUGUGUUGGGAGAACAAGAAAUACUCCUUUGCCACUUUCAUUCAAGGUCAUUCUGGCACUGCCCUAUGUCACCAGGUCUGGAAUGGAGUUCUUGUCCUGCAUGAGGACCUAGCGUGAAAAUAACAAAAAGGCCUUUGUACCAAGGCCCAUUGGUAAAUUGGGCUACUCCUCACAUGGGAGGGAGUCAUUACCUGCUUGUCACCUUGGCUGCCAGGUCGCAUCUGGCAGGCUUCCAGAAGCUGCUUUCUGCUAUGCUGUUGGCAUCCAUGCCGUAGUUAGAUGACCUGGGAUUCCUCUCCACCCACCACGGCCUUUGUCAGGUUAGGAGCCUGGCUACAGACAGGACAUACAGAGAGUGGCGUUGUUGCUGUGUCUGUCCUAGCAGAGCCACAGAGGCCUGUGGGCUCUGCAAGAAAUCACAACUCCUUUGUGUGAUUGGGAGUUGGUGGGGCUGAAGUCCAGCAAGGAGGAGGUGACGACACACUAUUGUUCACGCUUUCGGAGCAGUCUGCCUGCUCCUUAGUACUUGAGGGAGUGGGUAAGUUGGUUGAGUUUGUUUUUCUUUGGAAAACUGCAUGGCGUCAAGAAGCAGUCCAUCUUCUAUGCUUUAAAAAAAUGGAGUACCUAAGCCAGGUAUGGUGGUGCAUGACGGGAAUCUCAAGUACCAGGGAGGCUGAGACAGGAAGGUUCCAAGUUGGAGGCCAGCCAGCCCAGGCUAUUUAACUAGCAUUUGUCUCAAAAUAAAUGAAUAAUAAAGGUCUUGGGCUGGAGGUGGGGUUAGCCCAGAGGUAGAGUAUGUUUUUAGCAUGCACAAAGCCCUCGGGUUUGACCCCAGCACUAGUGUGGGAUGGAAAGAAGGGGAAGCUACGCAUGGCAGUGCCUCUGUAGUCUCCGCUACUAGAGAGGCUAAGGCAGAAGGAUUGCUCGAUCCAAGGAGUUCCAGCCCCACCUGAGCAACAUAGCAAGACACCAACUCAAAAAAAUAAAACGCUUCUUUCCAUUUGCUUAAAAGGAGCCCCGGUACCUUUCUCCUUGAAGCUAAUCACUGUCAGAUACUACAAGGGCCAUGGUCUCCUCCACCCCAGGGACAGACAUAGGUAAGAUGAGCAUGGCAAUGUAUUUGAUGACCGGUUUUGCGCUGGAAGACUUGAAGUCUUCUAGGGAUAAAAGGGAAUGGCUGUUUUAUGGUCUGCUUAAUCUUCAACUUUUUAGUGCAGUUUCGAUGAAAGGGCCAGGAGGUAAUGGUAGUCAUUGUGGAUAAAGGCCUUGUGUUUGGAGCUGAAGAUAAUGUCGGAGGCCCUUGAGUCCAAACUCCUGGUCCAGGAGACAAGGUAACGGGUUAUCUAAUUGAAUACCUCCCUGGCUUCAGCAAAGGGUCCCAUUGUUCGGAAACUCAGCUGACACUGUCUCCUCAAAAGCUUCUGAUCCUCCUGCUUCUCGAACUGGAGGAAGAAGAAACAGGUUUGCUGCAUGUCCUGCAGUACAUUGAAAAAAAAUCUCUCCCAUCUCCUGAAGUUUUACUUUCUGAUGUUAAAAAAAAAAAAAAAAAAUCCCCCUUUCUUCAAUCCUUCCAUGAGCUGGCUUUAGUCUACCCACCUUGUCAUAUUUGUUGCUUCCCUCUGCACGAUUUCUCAUCUAUCAGUGUCCUUCUUGAAGCAGGGGCUCCGGGUCGGAAGAGUACAGAGUCCAGGAACUUCACGUUUAUGUGUGAUCUGAACACAUACAUUUUUUUAUCAAUGUGUCUUCAUGGAUUUCUUGAGCUAAGGCCUCUCCAACACUGAAGUGUUCGUUUUGUUUUGAGACAGGGUUUCAUUAUGUAGUUCAGGCUGGCUUUGAACGAACUAUGUACCCCAGGCUAGCCACAAACUAGCUGCAAUCCUCUUGCCUCAGCCUCCUAAAUGCUAGGAUUAGAGGCCUAGUCCACUACACCCAGCUAGGUAAGUUUUUUAGGAAAAGAUCUUCUACUUGCAAAAAAAAGGCCGGGGGUGGGGUACUUCCUUGCAAAAACUCUUAACUCAAGUGAAAUAGUUGCUUACAAAGCAGAGGGGGAAGGGGCACCAGUCCCUGGACCCCGGACAAGGCACUACAAACCCCAGCGUCAUAGGCACUGUCCUGGGCUAGUCUAGCUGUCACCCCUACAGUGACUCAGCUGCGUCUCACCACCCCCUGACUCUCUGCUUCCUGGGCUGCCCCAGUGCCCAGCUUGUCCUGAGUAGAGGCAACUAGAGAAGGGUUUGACAAAGCUUUCUCUGCUCUUAGUCUGAAUUCCAGGCAGAAGGAAUCAGAUUGGUGCAGCUCACAUUUUCCUAGCAAGUCACAGGUUGCUGGGAGAACCAAGCCUCGACUAUGGCGGCCCAGUUCGCUCCCUCUGGUGUAGCCAAGAUACGAAGAAGCAGGGAGUCAUGCAGCUGCCAGGCUGGUGGCUGGCUCAGGGCAGACAGACAUUGUCACACACUCAGGUGACAGGUAGGCAGGCAAAUACCCAGAGCAAUUUCCUGCACCCAUAAAAUAUGCCCACUUUUCUUCUUUCAGAGGUGCUGUAACUUUCCACAUCAUUCUAGAAAUAUUGCACUUAUAUACGGUUAGUUGGUAGACACCACACAAGGGGAAAUAAUGAAAAAAAGCUAUUUUGCUUUUAUUUUGCUUUGGGGAGGAGCUGGGAAGCAAGAAGAUGCUGAAUAACUUGCAUAAAUUGGAUUACAACUUAAUUUAUUAUUCUUAUCUAUCUACUGAGUAUUGAGAAGGAUUUUAUGUUCUCCAAGAGCAAGUCCUUUAGGCAAAUUGGCUGUUCAUGAAUCUGUAUCAUAGCUGGGUGAUAGCAUUAAUAAAUGACACCUUUCAGUGUUUCACAGCUGUCACUCACCUGGCAGUGUACCCAGCAAGCCCACCGAAAAGCAGGGCGCUUUAGGGAUCCUGAAGCCCUGCUGGCCCCUGUCCAGUUGUGCAGUACGAGACCCCCCCACACACACACACACUAACCCUGCAUUCAGCUUCUUGGCUCUAAAAGUCAUCUGCAUACCUGUCCUCAUAGGGAUGCCACCAAGGGCACUGCCCAUGCAUAUGAGGAGAAUGACCAGCAGACAGUGGCACUAGCCCCUGGCUUCCCCAGGAGUUCUUGCUUCAUUUAACCCUCUGUCACCUUAUUAGAAGCCGCACUGGAGAAGAAAACUGCCUUCUCAGAUACUUAUUGUAAACCAGAUCCUAUGCUAAGUAUGUAAUUUCGACAGCUUCUUUUUUCUGCUUCCUGCUUUAGCUUACCUUUUAUAUAAUUUAAGGAGGAAGGUUCUAUUACUCUUUUUUAUUUGUUUGAGUUUUGAGACAGGGCCUUGCUUUGUAGUUCAGGCUGGCCUCGCAAUCACGAAGUAGCCCUGACUGGCCUUGAACACAUGGCAGUCCUCCUGCUUCAGCUGCCCGAGAGUACUGGGAUUACAGGUGUUCACCACCACCCCUAGCUCGGUCCUGUUACUCUCAUCUUCAUUUUACAAAUUGCAUAACUAACUCUCCCAUAGAUUAAGUCUCUAAGGCCGGAGGAACGGAGGCCACCUUCAAAGCCAGGCAUCUGACUCAGGAGACCAGGCUCAAGACCACUGGCCUUAAUUGCAUCUUCUCUGAACCAGUAAGGUGUCAGAAAGAUCCUACCAAAGAAUCUGGAAGUGUGAAUUGGAAGAUGACGAGACCAGAGGCAAAGAGAACAGCUAAGGAUAACCAUGGGAGUCCUACCAUUAAGAACUG
ensembl:lncRNA